rnacentral:rRNA from 1 species
GGAAUAUUGGUCAAUGGGCGAGAGCCUGAACCAGCCAAGUAGCGUGCAGGACGACGGCCCUAUGGGUUGUAAACUGCUUUUAUGCGGGGAUAAAGUGUGGGACGCGUCCCAUAUUGUAGGUACCGCAUGAAUAAGGACCGGCUACUUCCGUGCCAGCAGCCGCGGUAAUACGGAAGGUCCGGGCGUUAUCCGGAUUUAUUGGGUUUAAAGGGAGCGCAGGCCGUAGGUCAAGCGUGACGUGAAAUGUAGCCGCUCAACGGCUGCACUGCGUCGCGAACUGGCUUUCUUGAGUGAGUUCGAUGUAGGCGGAAUUCGUGGUGUAGCGGUGAAAUGCUUAGAUAUCACGAAGAACCCCGAUUGCGAAGGCAGCCUACAAGGCCUUUACUGACGCUAAAGCUCGAAGGUGCGGGUAUCGAACA